rnacentral:rRNA from 1 species
AUUGAACGCUGGCGGCAGGCCUAACACAUGCAAGUCGAGCGGAUGAAGGGAGCUUGCUCCUGGAUUCAGCGGCGGACGGGUGAGUAAUGCCUAGGAAUCUGCCUGGUAGUGGGGGAUAACGUCCGGAAACGGGCGCUAAUACCGCAUACGUCCUGAGGAAGAAAGUGGGGGAUCUUCGGACCUCACGCUAUCAGAUGAGCCUAGGUCGGAUUAGCUAGUUGGUGGGGUAAAGGCCUACCAAGGCGACGAUCCGUAACUGGUCUGAGAGGAUGAUCAGUCACACUGGAACUGAGACACGGUCCAGACUCCUACGGGAGGCAGCAGUGGGGAAUAUUGGACAAUGGGCGAAAGCCUGAUCCAGCCAUGCCGCGUGUGUGAAGAAGGUCUUCGGAUUGUAAAGCACUUUAAGUUGGGAGGAAGGGCAGUAAGUUAAUACCUUGCUGCUUUGACGUUACCAACAGAAUAAGCACCGGCUAACUUCGUG